rnacentral:tRNA from 1 species
CUCCGCAACGGAGAAUUGAACUCCGGGUCCCCCGCGUGCUUGAACAUUGUUUCUGGAACAGGCGGAAAUUCUAGCCAACUAACUAUUGCCGA